AAAAGGCGGGCAGUUUGAGUUGAGAGGCAGGGUCAGGGCCUCCUCACCCCUGAAGGCCUCCCCGGCUCCAGUUCCAGCUCCAGCCCGUCUCUCCCUGCCUCAGUGCUCUCCAAGCCAUGCUCCCUGUGCCUGCUGCGGGGCCCUGGCUGGGAUAUCAUCAUAUACUGUAAGUUUGCAAUGAGAUACUACAGUAUAGAUGAUGUACUAGUCCGGGUCCCCACAGCUCUGGAGCCAGAUGAGGAGGGCAGGGCAUGCUGCAAACCCACCAAGCUCACCGCUCAGCCUAUCACAGCCUGCUGACCGCCGGGACGCUUGGGGAUGGCGAGGAAACCGUUACCAUUACUGAGUUUAGUAAUGGUAACGGUUCUCUUGCUGUACCCAGAAUACGUGUCAAGAAGAGAGCUCAGGACCCUGGAGCAGAUCACUGGAAGGGAGGGAGACUCCAGCUCAGACAACAGGGUGGGGGUGAGGGAAUGGGUUUUCUCUUUCCUGUUCUAAAGAAAUAAAGAUGAGAACCAGUA